rnacentral:rRNA from 1 species
CGUGUAGGCGGAUGCGUAAGUCCGGUGUAAAAGCCCCCGGCUCAACCGGGGAAAGCCAUCGGAUACUGCGUGUCUUGAGUGCGGGAGGGGAGAGUGGAACUCUUGGUGGAGCGGUGAAAUGCGUAGAUAUCAAGAGGAACGCCGGUGGCGAAAGCGGCUCUCUGGCCCGUGACUGACGCUGAGGCGCGAAAGCUAGGGGAGCAAACGGGAUUAGAUACCCCGGUAGUCCUAGCCCUAAACGAUGGGUACUAAGUAGGGGCGACUCCGAUGUUGUCUCUGCUGUAGCCAACGUGCUAAGUACCCCGCCUGGGGAGUACGGUCGCAAGGCUGAA